UGGGGUUGUUUAUGUGAGGGAAGCUGCUUGAAGGGUUGUGCGUGUGUGGGAGAUGCUGCUUGUGUGGUUGUGGGCUGUGUGGUGAGAAGACAGAGGCUGUGGUAGAGGUCGUAGUGAUGGACAGGGACUGUGGUGGGGUGGACAGGGGCACUGGUGGGGUACACAGGUACUAUAGUGGGAAGAGAGUGGCUGUAGUAGGAG